rnacentral:rRNA from 1 species
AUUGAACGCUGGCGGCAGGCCUAACACAUGCAAGUCGAGCGGAGCGGCGGUCGGGCGCGUAAGGCCUAGGUAUCUGCCUGGUAGUGGGGGCUAACGUCAGGAAACGGGCGCUAAUACCGAAUACUAGCAGAUUAGCCUAGGUCGGAUUUGCUAGUUGGUGGGGUAAAGGCCUACCAAGGCUACGAUCGUGAACUGGUCUGAGAGGAGGAUCAGUCACACGGGAACUGAGACACGGUCCAGACUCCUACGGGAGGCAGCAGUGGGGAAUAUUGGACAAUGGGCGAAAGCCUGAUGCAGCCAUGCCGCGUGUGUGAAGAAGGUCUUCGGAUUGUAAAGCACUUUAAGUUGGGAGGCGUUACCAACAGAAUAAGCACCGGCUAACUUCGUGCCAGCAGCCGCGGUAAUAC